rnacentral:tRNA from 1 species
GAGGGUAGAGCUUAGUGGUGGAGCGCAUGCUUAGCAUGCACAAGGUCCUGGGUUCGAUCCCCCGUACCUCCU